rnacentral:hammerhead_ribozyme from 1 species
AUUCAGCUGACGAGUUCCAAAUAAGACGAAACGUGCAUCCUGGAU